GGGAGGGACAAGUGUGCGGGGUAAGUCGCAGGUCGACAGUGCCGGGCUGCCUGCUCUUCCGUUUCCACCCUGCAGGCCUGGUGGCAAAGAUGGCUGAUGCCUACUGAACCUGUCCAGCGACCCUGGAGCAUGGGGGCCUGGGCAGGGUGGGGUCACCUCCAGACAGAGGCGAUGGACCCCAGCGAGCGUGCUGAAGAGCCUGCGACUUGGCGACAGAACCUCGGACAGCGGAGGUUAUGUGAGCAGAGGACUCGAGCAGGGGUCUGCACAAACCAUCACACAGCAUUGUUCACAAGCCUAAGAGCAGACAGUGGAGAUCCCUGCUGAGGGACAGCCACACACCCUCCUGCCGCACGGGCGGAGCAGCUUCCUGUGAGAAGGAGUCGGUCUUGGCCCCCCGUGCAGAGCAGCCACCCCCAGACGCCAGCCCUGCACUGAGCGCUGUACCUCAGUGUCUCAAUCUGCAGGCCCGCACCAUAAAGUAGGGCAGUGGCUGCUGAGGGCUGGAGGGGCCUGGGGGAAGUAGGGUGUCUUUGUCCGUUCCUGAUGCUAUAACAAACAUCAAGAUGGGUGAGUUCCAAACAGCAGUGGCAUCCUCCUCACCAAUCUGGGCUCUGUCUGGGGAGGGCCUGUUUUGCCCUGGGUGGGUGCCAGGCCACAGGCCUCUGCAGGACGCAGUCAAGGCAAGGAAGCACCAGCCUCGAGGCCUCACACUGCCCUCCCUGUUGGGGCUGGGCCUCCUGAGCACCGGUGAGGGCUCUUCUGGCCCAGGUCUCCCUCUGGAGGGACCGACGGCCCAGGCCUGGCCCACUGUGUGGUCUGGAAGGAGGUAAGGACCAUACAGGACCAGCCCACUGCAUCUCACUCAGUCCCUCACAGACAGACUGGGCUCUGGACUUCUGGUGCUGGACAGAGCGGUGAUGUGAACCUUUCAGGGACUGAGUGUUCAGACUGCGACUCAAAACCCACUUAUUUACCGCAAAGUGCCCACUCUGCUGCUGAACCUGGACACUGAGGCUUCGGUUUAGAAAAGCAACUCACCCAUCUGUGCCGUAGAUCCGCCACC
rnacentral:lncRNA from 1 species